GCACUUACUUGUGGAAAGAAACUGGCUUAUCCUUAUCAUAUCGGUUUUUGCAGCCGUAGGCGGAACAGGACUGCACCAUCCUUCCGGUUCUCAGUCGUUUCACUUCUUUCGCCCCAGCAGGCAGCAGAACGACCACAACCAUCCCCUGACUCCCAUCUCCAAGAUGGCGGAGGGAGCUUCAAUCUCACCUCUCGCGAGGAGUUCGUCCCUGCUGUCUCAGAUUAGCCUUGAGGUCAGAGAUAGAAACACUGCAGUCCUUGGGAAAGCUGUAACUCAGUGAAUGACAACGAUGAUGGAAGGAAGGACUUCACCCAACACACAUGGACAGUGAGGUUUCUCACAGUUGAAGAAUAUUUGUUGGUAAAUCUCAC